CCUACGGGAGGCUGCAGUGGGGAAUAUUGGGCAAUGGAGGCAACUCUGACCCAGCAACGCCGCGUGAAUGAUGAAGGUCCUCGGAUUGUAAAGUUCUUUUCUAAGGGAAGAAGAAAGUGACGGUACCUUAGGAAUAAGCCUCGGCUAACUACGUGCCAGCAGCCGCGGUAAUACGUAGGAGGCAAGCGUUAUCCGGAAUGACUGGGCGUAAAGGGUGCGUAGGUGGGUUGACAAGUUGGUAGCGUAACUCCGGGGCUCAACCUCGGAACUACUACCAAAACUGGUGGACUCGAGUGCAGUAGGGGUAACUGGAAUUUCUAGUGUAGCGGUGGAAUGCGUAGAUAUUAGGAAGAACACCGGUGGCGAAGGCGAGUUGCUGGACUGUAACUGACACUGAGGCACGAAAGUGUGGGGAGCAAACAGGAUUAGAUACCCCAGUAGUC
rnacentral:rRNA from 1 species